rnacentral:rRNA from 1 species
CUUCCAGACUCCUACGGGAGGCAGCAGUGGGGAAUAUUGGGCAAUGGGCGCAAGCCUGACCCAGCAACGCCGCGUGAAGGAAGAAGGCCCUCGGGUUGUAAACUUCUUUUAUCAAGGACGAAACAAAUGACGGUACUUGAUGAAUAAGCCACGGCUAACUACGUGCCAGCAGCCGCGGUAAUACGUAGGUGGCAAGCGUUAUCCGGAUUUACUGGGUGUAAAGGGAGCGUAGGCGGCCUGCCAAGUCUGAUGUGAAAUACCGGGGCUCAACCCCGGGGCUGCAUUGGAAACUGGCAGGCUGGAGUGUCGGAGAGGCAGGCGGAAUUCCUAGUGUAGCGGUGAAAUGCGUAGAUAUUAGGAGGAACACCAGUGGCGAAGGCGGCCUGCUGGACGAUGACUGACGCUGAGGCUCGAAAGCGUGGGGAGCAAACAGGAUUAGAUACCCUGGUA